rnacentral:lncRNA from 1 species
GUUAAAUGGUUCAUGAGUAAAUGCAACAACAUGAAUGGAAACGCCAUUUUUCGAUCUUUCAAGAACCAUAACUCUUGAACGGUAAAAGUCAAAAUCGACAUUAUUGAACUUGACCUCCAUUUUGUCAUCAGUAAUAACAUAUUAAAAUUUGAAAAGCUUUGGUUGAACAGUUCAUGAGUAAAUGCACGGACACGACUGGAAUAGUCAUUUUUCAAUCUUUCAAGAACCAUAACUCCUGAACGGUAAAAGUCAAAAUCGUCAUUAUUGAACUAGACCUCCAUUUUGUCAUCAGUAACAACAUAUUAAAAUUUGGGAAGCUUUGGUUGAACAGUUCAUGCGUAAAUGCACGGACACGACUAGAAAUGUCAUUUUUCAAUCUUCCAAGAACAAUAACUCAUGAACGGUAACAGUCAAAAUCGUCAUUAUUGAACUUGACCUCCAUUUUGUCAUCAGUAACAACAUAUUAAAAUUUGAAAAGCUUUGGUUGAACGAUUCAUGAGU